GUGUAAUUAGGUUAUUUCGGUAUUUCUACUAGGGUGAAUUGCAAAAAUGACGUUUUUGGAAAAUGAAAUAAAGAAUAUAGCACCAUAAAAUCUAUAAUGUGUUGAGUAAUACUUAGAUGUGGUAAAAAGACAACAAACUCUUUCCAACAAAAAAGAUGGUAAGUGCGUGGAGCACGAGAAGAAUUGAAUAUGGCUGGAUGAUAUGGCGUUGUUUUCAUCCAAACAAUUUUCAGUAGCAUCAGCAAAGCAAAGUCUUGAAAACAAAGCAGAACAGUAUAGUACAUAUAUUUCGCUUUCGAGCUUCAUUUUGUUUGGAGAAAUAUCAAAUUGUUUAUAAGUACAGAAAACUAAACCCUAAAGAUGGUAUGGAACCCAAGCAACAACGGAAGUCGAUUCUCUGAACUCAAAUUGCGUUCCUCGCUCUAUAAUUCGAAACUCCCAUAUCACAGCUUCUUUGGUUACAGUCUCUAUCUGGUUUCUGCGACUAUCUGGUUUCUGCAAGAGAUUAUUAUAUUUUAU
rnacentral:sRNA from 1 species